CAAGAGAGCAUGCUAAGAAAACAAAUAAGAAAAUUUUGCCUACCUAAUAGCUUAAUCUUUUAGAUGGGAGGGUCCCCUACUCAGAAGUGGAAUUUUCUGAUUCCUCAAGUCUGUUAUUUAUAUUAUUGGGUUUCCUUGCAAUACUAGUAGCAUUUUCCCUGCUCCAUAUGCAUAAAAGACUUACAUAGAUACAUGCACAGAAAUGCAAAUAAAUGAUAUAUGCAAUAUGUAAAAAUGUCACGCAUGAUUCCAGACUUCCCAAAUAGCAUUCUGGAUACUGGAAAUAUGAAAUUUACGCAAGGUGUUUAGAUUUGAA